rnacentral:rRNA from 1 species
GUGGGGAAUAUUGGACAAUGGGCGAAAGCCUGAUCCAGCCAUGCCGCGUGUGUGAAGAAGGUCUUCGGAUUGUAAAGCACUUUAAGUUGGGAGGAAGGGCAGUAAGUUAAUACCUUGCUGUUUUGACGUUACCGACAGAAUAAGCACCGGCUAACUUCGUGCCAGCAGCCGCGGUAAUACGAAGGGUGCAAGCGUUAAUCGGAAUUACAGGGCGUAAAGCGCGCGUAGGUGGUUUUGUAAGUUGGAGGUGAAAUCCCCGGGCUCAACCUGGGAACUGCCUCCAAAACUGCAUGACUAGAGUACGGUAGAGGGUAGUGGAAUUUCCUGUGUAGCGGUGAAAUGCGUAGAUAUAGGAAGGAACACCAGUGGCGAAGGCGACUACCUGGACUGAUACUGACACUGAGGUGCGAAAGCGUGGGGAGCAAACAGGAUUAGAAACCCGUGUAGUCC